rnacentral:rRNA from 1 species
AGAGUUUGAUCAUGGCUCAGAACGAACGCUGAUGGCGUGCUUCAUACAUGCAAGUCGAGCGCCCCGCAAGGGGAGCGGCGAACGGGUGAGUAACGCGUGAACAAUCUGCCUUAAAGUGGGGGAUAACCAUUCCAACGGAUGGCUAAUACCGCAUAGGAUUUGGGACCGGCAUCGGUUCCCUAUGAAAGCAUUUAUGCGCUUUAAGAUGAGUUCGCGUCCCAUUAGCUAGUUGGCGGGGUAACGGCCCACCAAGGCAACGAUGGGUAGCCGGCCUGAGAGGGUGUCCGGCCACAUUGGGACUGAGAUACGGCCCAGACUCCUACGGGAGGCAGCAGUAGGGAAUUUUGCGCAAUGGGGGAAACCCUGACGCAGCAACGCCAUGUGUGGGAUGACGCAUUUCGGUGUGUAAACCACUGUCGGCAGGGAAUAAAGCCCACAUUUAUGUGGGGGUGAAUGUACCUGCAGAGGAAGCCCCGGCUAACUUCGUGCCAGCAGCCGCGGUAAUACGAGGGGGGCAAGUGUUGUUCGGAAUCACUGGGCGUAAAGGGAGCGUAGGCGGAUGUUUAAGUUGGAUGUUUAAAACCGGGGCCUAACCUCGGAGCGGCAUCCAAAACUGGGCAUCUUGAAUAGGUCAGAGGCUGGUGGAAUUGGAGGUGUAGCGGUGGAAUGCGUAGAGAUCUCCAAGAACACCUAUUGCGAAGGCAGCCAGCUGGGACCAUAUUGACGCUGAGGCUCGAAAGCAUGGGGAGAAACAGGAUUAGAUACCCUAGUAGUCC